UACGGAGGAUCCGAGCGUUAUCCGGAUUUAUUGGGUUUAAAGGGUGCGCAGGCGGGGGAUUAAGUCGGCGGUGAAAUUUUGCAGCUCAACUGUAAAAGUGCCUUCGAAACUGGUUUCCUUGAGUGUAGAUGAAGUAGGCGGAAUUUGUGGUGUAGCGGUGAAAUGCAUAGAUAUCACGAGGAACUCCGAUUGCGAAGGCAGCUUACUAAGCUACUACUGACGCUCAGGCACGAAGGCGUGGGGAUCAAACAGGAUUAGAUACCCGCGUAGUCCCU
rnacentral:rRNA from 1 species